CAUAAUGGCUUACACGAGGGUAAGCAAUAGCCAAAGUGAAAGAAUACUAAACUCUACAACCAUGCAAGUAGAAUGAUUACUUUUAACCAUUUACAAGCAUACAUCUUUUACAUUCACAUUUGCCUUUACAUUCCUUUUCAUCAUUUCUUUUCUUUACAUCACAAUGUCUCCACAAUAGGAUCUUACAUUUAACCAUCUUUAAUAUAUUUGCACCAUUCAUAUACCUAUAAUCAUCAAAUAACAAAA
rnacentral:lncRNA from 1 species